rnacentral:rRNA from 1 species
GACGAGGGAUCCUAGCGUUGUUCGGAAUCAUUGGGCGUAAAGAGUAUGUAGGCGGCCUAGUAAGUCAGUUGUGAAAUCCCCGGGCUCAACCCGGGAAGUGCAAUUGAGUACUGCUUGGCUUGAAUUUGGGAGAGGGUAGUGGAAUUCCUGGUGUAGUGGUGAAAUACGUAGAUAUCAAGGAGGAACACCGGUGGCGAAGGCGGCUACCUGGCCCUAAAUUGACGCUGAGAUACGAAAGCAUGGGGAUCAAAACAGG